UACGUAGGGGGCAAGCGUUGUCCGGAAUCAUUGGGCGUAAAGAGCGUGUAGGCGGCCCGGUCAGUCCGCCGUGAAAGUCCAGGGCUCAACCCUGGAAUGCCGGUGGAUACUGCCGGGCUGGAGUCCGGAAGAGGCGAGUGGAAUUCCUGGUGUAGCGGUGAAAUGCGCAGAUAUCAGGAAGAACACCCGUGGCUAAGGCGGCUCUCUGGGCAGUAACUGACGCUGAGGAGCGAAAGCGUGGGGAGCGAACAGG
rnacentral:rRNA from 1 species